rnacentral:rRNA from 1 species
UUGUAGUCUGCAACCCGACUACAUGAAGCUGGAAUCGCUAGUAAUCGCAGGUCAGCAUACUGCGGUGAAUACGUUCCCGGGUCUUGUACACACCGCCCGUCACACCAUGGGAGCCGGAAAUGCCCGAAGCCAGUGACCCAACCUUAGGGAGGGAGCUGUCGAAGGUGGAGCCGGUAACUGGGGUGAAGUCGUAACAAGGUAUC